UAGAGUUUGAUCCUGGCUCAGAUUGAACGCUGGCGGCAUGCUUUACACAUGCAAGUCGAACGGCAGCGCGGGCUUCGGCCUGGCGGCGAGUGGCGAACGGGUGAGUAAUAUAUCGGAACGUACCCAAGAGUGGGGGAUAACGUAGCGAAAGUUACGCUAAUACCGCAUACGAUCUAAGGAUGAAAGCAGGGGACCGCAAGGCCUUGUGCUCCUGGAGCGGCCGAUAUCUGAUUAGCUAGUUGGUGAGGUAAAGGCUCACCAAGGCAACGAUCAGUAGCUGGUCUGAGAGGACGACCAGCCACACUGGAACUGAGACACGGUCCAGACUCCUACGGGAGGCAGCAGUGGGGAAUUUUGGACAAUGGGGGCAACCCUGAUCCAGCAAUGCCGCGUGAGUGAAGAAGGCCUUCGGGUUGUAAAGCUCUUUUGUCAGGGAAGAAAAGGGAGUGGCUAAUAUCCAUUCCUGCUGACGGUACCUGAAGAAUAAGCACCGGCUAACUACGUGCCAGCAGCCGCGGUAAUACGUAGGGUGCAAGCGUUAAUCGGAAUUACUGGGCGUAAAGCGUGCGCAGGCGGUUUCGUAAGUCUGUCGUGAAAUCCCCGGGCUUAACCUGGGAAUGGCGAUGGAGACUGCGAGGCUAGAGUUUGGCAGAGGGGGGUAGAAUUCCACGUGUAGCAGUGAAAUGCGUAGAGAUGUGGAGGAACACCGAUGGCGAAGGCAGCCCCCUGGGUCAAAACUGACGCUCAUGC
rnacentral:rRNA from 1 species